rnacentral:rRNA from 1 species
UACGGGGGGAGCAAGCGUUGUUCGGAUUUACUGGGCGUAAAGGGCGCGUAGGCGGUCAGCACAAGUCAGUUGUGAAAUCUCCGGGCUUAACUCGGAAAGGUCAACUGAUACUGUGCGACUAGAGUGCGGUAGGGGGAGACUGGAAUUCCUGGUGUAGCGGUGAAAUGCGCAGAUAUCAGGAGGAACACCGGUGGCGAAGGCGGGUCUCUGGGCCGUAACUGACGCUGAGGAGCGAAAGCAUGGGGGAGCGAACAGG